UUAAGUAUCUCUAGGGACCCGAGGUUGUGAACCACUGAUCUAGACUAACAGAAAGUAGAGGGAGAGGGUCCUUCUAGGGUGUUUGGUUGCGUGGGUUCCUGGCAUCUGGACAGUUGAGAACCAGAGGUUGGGAGCCACCACGAACCCUGGUGGGGAAAUGAAAGCUACAGACCACAAUGGCUCCUUGGAGGUGACCUUUUGAGGUCACAAUGAUGCCACCACCACCACCCUUACCUCCAGUUGGAGACAGCGGCAGAAGGAAAACCUGGAGCAGGAGGAGAAGAGCUUCUCCUAGCAAGAGGGGGAGAACCCCCUGGGAAUGGGGAAUUGGACUUCCGCCAGGAAGCUGGAGGAGGAGGUUGAGAAUGAAGAGCUUCAGCCAGAAGAACUGGUCGCAGGAAGCCAGGGUGGCCACUGUAAAGGGCUGAAGAAGCUCUUUCAGAGAGGCGAAAGGACACCCAGGGAGAUACCGCUGGCCCCGAGUGAGAUGUUCUCUCAAGAUCUGCAGCCCAUGUCCAGGGAGAUUCUUUCUUCCUUGGGCCGGAGAGGUGCCAGGCUCCGUCGGGCUGCUCAGAGGUCCUGCCCUCCUCUUUUCUCCUUGACUCUGUGGGUGGCCGGCGACGGAGGCGAACGAGAAGAGAACUAUCGGUACCACCGCCUGAUGGGGAACCUGGUCUCCUCCAUGGUUCCAGAAAACGACCUCCCACCCCCUACGUGGUAUGAGAUCCCCGGGGACCAGGUUGUGAGGCCACCAUCCCCUCCCCCGCUCCGGUACCUGGCCAACGGUAUGACCAUGGCAGAAGGACACCACUUGCCUUACCUCAGGCUUGACCAUGGCCUGCCAAGGACAGAAUAAAAAUGGAAACAACCUUGCACAAGCAUCUCAGGUGUGACGUGUCCUGCCUUACUAACAACGUUGUCAAGGUGGUUGUCCAAAGUGGCCCUCUCAAUUGGUGGAUCUGUGGUGUCAGAGCGGGAACCAGACAGAUCUAUCUCUAGACCACAAUCCAACAGGACGCCAUCU
rnacentral:lncRNA from 1 species